UACGUAGGGGGCGAGCGUUGUCCGGAAUCAUUGGGCGUAAAGAGCGUGUAGGGGGCUUGGCAAGUCUGACGUGAAAGCCCGCGGCUCAACCGCGGAUUGUCGUUGGAAACUGCCUCGCUAGAGUCCGGAAGAGGAGAGCGGAAUUCCUGGUGUAGCGGUGGAAUGCGCAGAUAUCAGGAAGAACACCCGUGGCGAAGGCGGCUCUCUGGGACGGUACUGACGCUGAGACGCGAAAGCGUGGGGAGCGAACAGG
rnacentral:rRNA from 1 species